UGAAUAACCAUAACUGCCAUCGAAAAUGUG
rnacentral:piRNA from 1 species